AUCUACGUCCAUGCUACCCUGAACAAGACUGAUCCCAUCUGAUCUCAGAAGCAAAGCAGGUUUGGGCCUGGUUACUAUUUGGAUGGGAGACCACCUAGAAAGACCAGGUGCUGUAGGCA
ensembl:rRNA 5S_rRNA 5S ribosomal RNA